rnacentral:rRNA from 1 species
AUUGAACGCUAGCGGGAUGCUUUACACAUGCAACUCGAACGGCAGCGCGGACUUCCGUCUGGCGGCGAGUGGCGAACGGGUGAGUAAUGUAUCGGAACGUGCCCAGUAGCGGGGGAUAACUACGCGAAAGCGUAGCUAAUACCGCAUACGCCCUACGGGGGAAAGCAGGGGAUCGUAAGACCUUGCACUAUUGGAGCGGCCGAUAUCGGAUUAGCUAGUUGGUGAGGUAACGGCUCACCAAGGCGACGAUCCGUAGCUGGUUUGAGAGGACGACCAGCCACACUGGGACUGAGACACGGCCCAGACUCCUACGGGAGGCAGCAGUGGGGAAUUUUGGACAAUGGGGGCAACCCUGAUCCAGCCAUCCCGCGUGUGCGAUGAAGGCCUUCGGGUUGUAAAGCACUUUUGGCAGGAAAGAAACGUCGCGGGCUAAUACCCCGUGGAACUGACGGUACCUGCAGAAUAAGCACCGGCUAACUACGUG